GGCUGUUUGGCUGGGAAGCUGCUUGUUGGGGGCCUUCUGGCUUUUCUCCAUCAGAACGUUGUGUUUGAAAAGCUGAACAGAAGCUUUGGGGAGAGCUCAACACUGAGAAUUACCAACACACCUGCUGCCUGUUUUGAUGUGAGCACCAAAGUACAGUGAGAUAUAAGAACCAAGAGAGCUGGCUUAGAAACUACAGUUCUGUGUUCUAAUGUGCAUGGAAACUCUAUUAUGCAAGAAGAACACAAAUACUGGCUCAAACAUCUGUCUUCGUACUGAUGCAGCAGAUAUGUAAGAGAAAAGGCAGUUUGGAAGAAUGCUGAAGAGCUUGAAGUCACUUAAAUGUAACAUACCUACUAAAAUACACAUAGCGAUUAAUGUUAUUGUGAUACAAAUUGACUAGUUUGUAAAAAAAAUUGUAGGACCACUGUUGAAAGCCACUGUGUUUUCCUUUGCUCCUCCGAAUUAAUAUCCUACAGAAACAGAAUAGUAG